rnacentral:lncRNA from 1 species
AGAGGCGCUGGCGGCCAUCUUGAUUGGAAUCGCGCCCUGUUGUCUUGGUUACGGAUUUUUGCCCCGGCUCUUUCCUGGAGUUACAGGUGCGAGGUAAUACUUUUAAGUAACACUGGCCGGGCGUGGUGGCUCACGCCUGUAAUCCCAGGAUUUUGGGAGGCCCAGGCGGGCGGAUUACCUGAUAACAGGAGUUCGAGACCAGCCUGGCCAACAUGGCGAAACCCCGUCUCUACUAAAAAUACAAAAAUUAGCCGGGCGUGGUGGCGGGCGCCUCUAACCCCAGCUACUCGGGAGGCUGAGGCAGGGAGAACUGCUUGAACCCGGGAGGCGGAGGUUGCAGUGAGCGGAGAUCGCGCCACUGCACUCCAGCCUGGGUGACAGAGCGAGACUUCGUCUCAAAAAUAAAAUAAAAAUAAAAUAAAAUAACAUAGACCCUCGCAGUUUGAUGUACGCGCUAGUGUGCAUACCUGGAGUCAGGUAUUCAGAAACCAGAUUUUAUUCUUCAAGGAAUCCCAGGAUGCUAGAAAGGUUGAUUGAUUGCACGGUAGGUACUCACAUAAGCACUAAAAACAUUGAUGUGAAAGGGGCACUAUUGACAACUAUGCGAUCUGUGUGACAGAAUUUAUGACUACCACAGUUGCCUAGUACAUAAAAGAUGCGCAGAAAAUGUACUGCUGUUCGUGAUUUUUCCCCAGUUUUUAAGUUACCAUAUACUUCACAUACCAUAAAAUGUACCCCUUUACAGUGUACAAUUCAGUGAUUUUUGGUGUAUUCACAAAGAUGUGCAAAUAUCACCACUAAUUCCAGAAUAUUUAAUCACCUCAAAAAGAACCCCCCUGACACACACACCCAGUAGCAGUCCAUGCCCCACUUCCCCCUCCUGCCAGCCCUUGGCAACCAAUAAUCUACUUUAUGUUCAAUGGAUUUGCCUAUUCUGAACAUAUAUAAAUGGUUUCGUGCAACGUAUGGCCUUUUGUGUUUGACUUCUUUCACUAUCUUUUUGAGGUUCAUACAUGUAGCGUGGAUCAGUACUUCCAUUUUGUUAGGACUGAAUAAUAUUCCUUUGUAUGGAUAUACCACAUUUUGUUUAUCCAUUUAUCAACCUAGGUACUUUUUUUAUUUUAGACAUAGUCUUGCUCUGUCGCCAGGGCUGAAGUGCAGUGGUGCGAUCUUGGCUUACUGCGCCGUCCACCUCCCGGGUUCAAGCAGUUCUGCCUCAGCCUCCCAAGUAGCUGGGAUUACAUGCACGCACCACCACACCUUGCUAACUUUUGUAUUUUUUAGUAGAGACAGGGUUUCACCAUGUUGGCCAGGCUGGUCUUGAACUUCUGAGCUCAGGUAAUCCACCCGCCUUGGCCUCUCAAAGUGCUAGGAAUACAGGCGUGAGCUACUGUACCCGGCAGCUUAUGUACAUUUGAAUGGUUCCUAUUUUUUGGCUAUUAUGGAUUAUGCUGCUUUGUGUUUUUUUGUUUUGUUUUGCUUUGCUUUGUUUUGUUUCUGAGACAGAGUCUCACUCUGUCACACAGGCUGGAGUGCAGUGAUGCAAUCUCAGGUUACUGCAACCUCCAUCUCCUGGGUUCAAGUGAUUCUAGUGCUUCAGCCUCUCGAGUAGCUGGGACCACAAGCGCGUGCCACCACACCCAGCUGCUUUGAAUAUUAGUGUACAAAUUUUUGUGUGGACAUACAUUUUCAAUUCUCUAGGAGAAAAAUUGCUGGGUCAUAUGCUGACUCUUAAGUGUAACAUUUUGAGGCACUGGUAAACUGUUUUCCAAAGCACCUGCACCACUUAAAUUCCCAUGAGCAAUGUAAGAGAGUUUGGUAUUAGUUUCCUAUUUCUGUUGUAACAAAUUAUCACACAUUUAUUAUUUUAUACUUCAGGAAGUCAGAAGUCUGAAAUCAGUUUUGCAGGUCUAAAAUGUAGGCCGGAAGCAGUGGCUCACACCUGUACCCAGCACUUUGGAAGGCUGAGGUGGGCGGAUCAUGAGGUCAGGAGAUCAAGACCAUCCUGGCUAACACCAUGAAACCCGAUCUCUACUAAAAAUACAAAAAAUCAGCCAGGCGUGGUGGCACGCCUCUAGUCCCAGCUACUUGGGAAGCUGGGGCAAGAGAAUCACUGGAACCUGGGAGGUGGAGGUUGCGGUAAGCUGAGAUCGCACCACUGCACUCCAGCCUGGGCAACAGAGUAAGACUCCGUCUCUUAAGUAAAUAAAUAAAUAAAUUAAAUAAAUAAAUAAAUAAAAUGAAGAAGUCAGUAGGACUACAUUCCACCUGGAGGCUUCAGGGGAGAAUCGGUUUCUUGGCUUUUUCCAGCUUCUGUAGACUGUCUGCAUACUUUGGCAUUUCUCCAUCUUCAAAGAUCAUCAGUUGAACUUCUUCCAUUGUCACAUCUUUUUCUCUGAUGCUCUGACACUCCUAACUCCCUCUUAAUAAAACCCUUGUGAUUACAUGGGCAUCACCUGGAUAAUCCAUGAUAAUCUCAAGAUCCUUAAUCGUAUAGCAAAUUCCUUCUGGGCAUAUAAAGUAACAUAUUCACAGAUACCUGGGGGUUCUCAACAUCUUUGGGCUGGGAGUUGAAGGAAGCAUUGUUCUAUCUACCAAAGGUUCCAAUUUCUCCACUCCUCACCAAAACUUAGCAUUGUCCAUCUGUUUUAUUAAGCCAUCCUAACAGAUAUGAGUGGUAUCUCAUUGUGAUUUUCAUUUCCUUGAUGGCAAGGCAAAUGAUGGUGAGCAUGUUUUCAUGUGCUGAUUGAUUACCCAUUUUUAUAUCUUCUUUGGAAAAAUGCCUAUCCAAAUCCUUUGCCCGGUUUUUAAAUUGGGUUGUCCUUUUAUUGUUGAGUUCUAAUAUUUUCUCAUGUAUUCCAGAUAUAAGUCCCUUACCUGAUACAUAAUUUGCAAAUAUUUAUCCCAUUUAGUAGGCGUUAUCUUGUUGUUAAUGUGCUUUUCAGCACAGAUCUUUUGAACUUUGUUGAAGCCCAGUUUACAUAUUUUUUCCUUUUGUUGCCUGUGCUUUUGGUAUCAUAUCUAAGAAGCCAUUCCCUAUUCCAACAUCACAAAGAUUUACCCUAUGUCUUCUUUCAAACAUUUUUAAUUGCAGCUCUUAUAUUUAAGCCUUUGGUCCAUUUUUAUUUUGAUAUAUGGUGUGAGAUAGGGGUUCAACUUUAUUCUUUUGUAUAUGGAUAUCCAGUUGUCCCAGCAUCAUUUGUUGAAAAGAUUAUUCUUUCUCCAUUGAAUUGUCUUAGCAUCCUUUUGCAAUAUCAAUCGACCAUAAUUGUAAGGGUUUAUUUCUGGACCCACAAUUCUAUUUAAUUGAUCUGUCUGGUUUUCAUUAUGCUAGAUCCACAGCUUUGAUUACCAUAUAGCAUUGUAGUAAGUUUUGAAACUAAGAAAUGUGACUUUUAUGAUUUUUCUCUUUUGCAAGAUUGAAUUUCCAUAUGAAUUUUAGGGUCAAUUUCUCAAUUUCUGCAACAAAGGCAGCUUGGAUUUUUCUUUUCUUUUUUUUUAUGUUAUUUUAUCAAUUGAUUUUUUUUUUUGAGAUACAGUCUCCUUUUGUUGCCCAGACUGGAGUGCAGUGGUGUGAACACAGCUCACUGCAGCCUUGACCUGGGCUCAAACAGUGCUCUCACCUCAGCCUCCCGAGUAGCUGAAAUCACAGGCAUGCACCACCACGUCUCACUAAUUUUUAAAUUUUUUAUAGGGAUGGGGUCUCAUGUUGCCCAGGCUAAUCUCAAACGGCUAGGCUCAAGCAAUCCCCUUGCCUCAGCCUCCCAGUGUUCAGAUUAUAGAAGUGAGCCACAGCACUCGGCCUGACUUCUUUUCCUAGUUUGUUGAAUGCUUUUUAUCAUGCAAGUGUGUUGGAUUUUGUGUGUGCUUUUUCUGCAUCUAUUGAGAUGAUCAUGUUGUUUUUUCCUUUAUUCUAUUAACAUUUUGUAUUACACUGAUUUUCAUAUGUCCAACCAACCUUAUAUUCUUGGAAUCAAUCCUAUUUGGUCAUGGUGUAUGAUCCUUUUUAUAUGUUACUGGGUUCAGUUUGUUGAUAGUUUGCUGAGGAUUUUUGUGUCUAUAUUCAUCAUAUUGGCCUGUAGUUUUCUAGUGGAAUCUUUGUUUGGCUUUGGUAUUGGAUCAAUACUGGCCUAAUAGAUUCAGAUGGGAUGUAUUCCCUCCUCUUUAGUUUUUUGGAAAAGUUUGUGAUGUCUGCUGUUAAGUGGCAGGACUGGUGGUGAUGUUAGUGAGAUUUUGCAGCGGUUAUUAAGGAUUUUUUUUUUUUUUUUGAGAUGGAGUCUCACUCUGUCACCCAGGCUGGAGUGCAGUGGUGCUAUCUCAGCUCACUGCAACCUCCGCCUCCCAGAUUCAAGCGAUUCUCCUGCCUCAGCCUCCCUAGUAGCUGAGACUACAGGCGCCCACCACAACACCUGGCUAAUUUUUGUAUUUUUAGUAGAGACAGGGUUUCAUCAUAUUGGCCAGGCUGGUCUUGAACUCCUGACCUUGUGAUCCACCUGCCUCGGCCUCCCAAAGUGCUGGGAUAACAGGCGUGAGCCACCGCACCUGGCUAAGAAUUUUUUUUUUCAGUAAAACUUUAUUAACCCACUCAUUAUUAUCAGAAUACAAAUAGGAGUACACUGCACAGUGAAGAAUUUGCAUAGCAAAUGAAUGACAUGAACAAAAUAUUCAGAAGUGUCACACACUUAAAUUGAUUAAUUCAAGUAUUUAUUUUCGUGAAAAUAAUUUGUGAAUAGCAUGGUCCCUAUCAUUCUCCCCUUAAUAACUUUUCAGUAACAUGUUGUACUGACAUGUUCAGUAAUUGUUGUAAGUUAAUACAAUUGUAUUUCAUUUAUCCUUAAAUUGUAGUUGUUUUGAUAUAUACAUGUAAUUUGAACUGGCCUCUCAUGAAAAAAUUCCAAAUGAGUAUUUAACAGUACAAAGUUACUAAUCACCAUUUAAAAAAAUGUAUGAUACAGUUGAGUAAAAGUAUAGAAAAUAUUGUUACAUUUUAUAAAUCUAAAUAUAGGUCAAGUUAUUCUUGACAAAUUCUUUUGAAAGAAGCUAAUACAAACAAAUACUAGAGCAGCACCCCCUAUAAGAAAGUACAUGGUCCUUAGCACUUUGGGAGGCUGAGGCAGGCAGAUCUCCUGAGGUCAGGAGUCCAAGACCAGUCUGGUCAACAUGGUGAAACCCAGCCUCCACCAAAAACACAAAAAUCAAUCAGCCAGGCAUGCUGGCAGGAGCCUGUAAUCCCAGCCACCCAGGAGGCUGCGGCAGGACCAGCUAAGAAUCUUUAAAUAGGGAGAUUAUCUUGGAUUUUCCAGAUGAGCACCAAUCUAAUGACAAUGGACUUUAUAAGAGGGAGGCAGAAGUUUAAGAGUCAGAGAAGGAAAUGUGAUAAUGGAAGCAGAGGUCAGAGUGAGAGAGAGAAGAUGUAAUGCAGCUGGCUUUGAAUAUGGAGGAAGGAGCUACAAACCAAGGAAUUCAGGCAGCCUCUAUAACCUGGAAAAAGCAAGGAAAGAGAUCUUGAUUUUAGCCCCAUAACACUGGAACUUACAAUUGUUUUUUGUCUUUUUUUUUUUUUUGAGAUGGAGUCUCACUCUGUUGCUUAGGCUGGAGUGUGCAGUGGCAUGAUCUCAGCUCACUGCAACCUCUGCCUCCUGGGUUCAAGCAAUCCUCCUGCCUCAGCCUCCUGAGUAGCUAGGAUUACAGGCAUAGACCACCAUGCCCAGCUAAUUUUUUUUGUAUUUUUAGUAGAGAACAGGGUUUCACCAUGUUGGCCAGGCCUGUCUCAAAACUCCUGACCUUGGCCUCCCAAAGUGCUGGGAUUACAGGCGUUAGCCACCACGCCCAGCCUUGAACUAAGAAUUUGACCUCCUGAACUGUAAGAUAAUAAAUUGAUGUUGUUUUAAGCCACUAGUUUGUGGUGAUUUGUUACAGCAAUAGUGGAAAAUAAUACAGUUCCCAAAUGGGAGCAUGAAAUAAGAGUACAAAAUAAAAUUUUUCAUACAUGAUAGUAAAAGAGAUCUUAUUUUGCAUCUGAGAAAACUAGAACCUCUACUAUUUUCACCUUCUUAUUAAUGAUACACAAGUAUGGCCGGGCUCCGUGGAUCACACCUGUAAUCCCAGCACUUUGGAAGGCUGAGGGAGGUGGAUCUCCUAAGCUCAGGAGUUCAAAACCAGCCUGAGCAACAUGGUGCAACCCCAUCUCCACCAAAAAAUACAAAAAAUUAGCUGGGCGUCAUGGCAUGUGCCUGUGGUCCCAGCUACUUGGGAGGCUGUGGUAGGAGGAUCACUUGAGCCUGGGAGGCAGAGGUUGCAGUGAGCAGAGAUUGUGCCACUGCACUCCAACCUUGGUGACAGUGUGAGACUCUGUUUCAAAAAAAAAAAAAAAAAGAUGCAUGUGUAUGGCUGCCUUGAACCCAUAUACCAACUAUCAGUAACUACCAGCUACAAAUUGACAUUAACAAAGGUGUAUAUUUACUUUGUACUGUAUUAAUAAAGUAAAAUGUACUUAUGGGCAAUUUUAUAAACAGCAUUUUCUCAUUCCACAGGGAAAUAAUGGUCAAAGUCAUAAAAUAUAGCAAAUUCAUCUCCAAAAUCAAUACAAACAUUUCUGGAAGAUAAUUCCAUGUAAACCUUAGACAUAUUAGGAAAGUUGAAUAUUUUCACAUAAGCUAUUGGAACAAGAGGAAAUAAGAGAUUCUAAAAAAUUAAAAACUGCUGCUAUACAAAUAGAAAAGUAUAUAUCGUCAGUAGUUUCACUGAGCUGGCUGUCUAUCCAUAAAUUUAUGAUCAGCUGUGCAGUACAUAAUGAAUAAAUGAGUGGAGUUGCAAACAUUUUUUUUUGAGAUGGAGUCUCGCUCUGUUGCCCAGGUUGGAGUGCAGUGGCGUGAUCUUGGCUCACUGCAACCUCCGCCUCCUGGGUUCAAGUGAUUCUCCUGCCCCAGCCUCCUGAGUAGCUGGGACUACAGGCGCAUGCCACCACGCCCGGCUAAUUUUUUUGUAUUUUUAGUAGAGACAGGGUUUCACUGUGUUAGCCAGGAUGGUCUCGAUCUCCUGACCUCAUGAUCCACCUGCCUUGACCUCCCAAAGUGCUGGGAUUACAGGCGUGAGCCACCGUGCCCAGCUGCAAACAUUUUUUAUAAUGGGCUUAAGGAAUAAUUCUCCAUGAUGCACCUUAACAAUACAAUCUUUUUUUUUUUUUUUUUUUUUUGGAGACGGAGUCUCACUCUGUCGCCCAGGCUGGAGCGCAGUGGCGCAAUCUCGGUUCACUGCAAGCUCUGCCUCCCGGGCUCACGCCAUUCUACUGCCUCAGCCUCCGGAGUAGCUGGGACUACAGGCACCUGCCAUGACGCCCGGCUAAUUUUUUUGUAUUUUUUACACGGGGUUUCACCGUGUUACCCAGGAUGGUCUCGAUCUCCUGACCUUGUGAUCUGCCUGCCUCGGCCUCCCAAAAUGCUGGGAUUACAGGCGUGAGACACUGCGCCCGGCUUUUUUUUUUUUUUUUUUUUUUUUUUUGAGACAGGUUUUGCUCUAUUGCCCAGGCUGGAAUGUAGGGGCAUGAUCACAGCUCAUUGCAGCCUUGACCUCCCUGGGCUCAGGUGAUCCUCCUACCUCAGCCUCCUGAGUAGCUGCAACUGCAGGUGUGCAACACCACGCCCAGCUAAUUUUUAUGUUUUUUUCUUUUUUGAGACGGAGUCUUGCUCUGUCACCCAGGCUGGAGUGCAGGGGCGCGAUCUCGGCUCACUGCAAGCUCCGCCUCCCGGGUUCACGCCAUUCUCCUGCCUCAGCCUCCCAAGUAGCUGGGACUACAGGCGCCCGCCACUACGCCCGGCUAAUUUUUUGUAUUUUUUUAGUAGAGACGGGGUUUCACCGUUAUAGCCGGGAUGGUCUCGAUCUCCUGACCUCGUGAUCCACCCGCCUCAGCCUCCCAAAGUGCUGGGAUUACAGGCGUGAGCCACCGCGCCCGGCCAAUUUUUAUGUUUUUUGUAGAGAUGGGGUUUCUCCAUGUUGUCCAGGCUGGUCUCGAACUCCUGGGCUCAAGCAAUCUGCCUACCUUGACUUCGGCCUCCCAAAGUGCUGGGAUUACAGACGUGAGCCACUGCGCCCAGGCAACGAUAUGAUCCUUUUAAAUUGAAAAGUAUUAUUUGUCAACAAAAGCAAUCCACUGCAUUCAGUGUCAAAAGUAGUACUUAGUGGGAGGCUGAGGCAGGCAGAUGGCUUGAGCCCGGGAGCUCAAGACCAGGCUGGGCAACUGGCCAAACCCCUUCUCUAUUUUUUAAAAAUAAUAUUACUUAAUUUUUUUUUAAAAGUAGUACUUAGUGUGAUAGCUAUACAGGGACUCUGGUUCUAACAUUAGCUUUUAAGUAAUCCUAGUGAGUUACUAAGGCAAUUAAAUGGCAAAGAAAUUCAUAAAUGAAAUUCUAGUCUCACAAAAUAUUACAUAGUUAAAAAAUAAGACUUUAUUUUACUAAAUUUGAAACACUUAUAAAUAGGUAAGGAGCUUAACAUGUAUGUUUUCGUCAGAAUUUAAGAUUUUAUUUUCCUCUUCAAUUUAAGGUAGAACUACACUAUCGUGUAGAUGAGUUUCUUUUGCAAGAUUACAAAUCUCAAGAAUAUUCCACUUCUUUAUACUUUUAAUAGAGAUGAGGUCUUGCUAUCUUGCCCAGGCUGGUCUUGAACUCCUAGUUUAGGCAGUCCUCCUGCUUUGGCCUCCCAAAGUCUGGGAUUACAGGCAUAAGCCACCACGCCUGGCCUACUUUUUAAUAUUUUUCAUGUUUUCUAAAAUACAUAUGUAUCAGGCCGGGUGUGGUGGCUUACGCUUGUAAUCCCAGCACUUUGGAAGGCCAAGGCGGGUGGAUCACUUGAGGUCAGGAGUUGGAGACCAGCCUGGCCAACAUGGUGAAACCCCGUCUCUACUAAAAAUACAAAAAAUUAGCCGGGCAUGAUUGUGCACGCCUGUAAUGCCAGCUACACGGGAGGCUGAGGCAGGAGAAUUGCUUGAAUCCAGGAGGCAGAGGUUGCACUGAGCCGAGAUUGCGCCAUUGCACUUCAGCCUGGGCGACAGAGAGAAGACUCCAUCUCAAAAAAUAAAAAUAAAUAAAUAAAAUACAUAUGUAUCAAUUAGUAUUAUGUUUGGCUAUUACAGAGAGUGACCUAACGAAGAGAGUAGCUUAUUUCUCUCUUAGGUAGAAAGUGGCAAAGCCUCUGCCUUCUCUGCCUAAACAGCAGCAAUAGCUACAGGUUUGGAAAGACAUUCACAAUCACAGGACCCCAACAAGCCUUGUGGAACCCAAUCUGGCACCCAGCUCACUUAGUAUUCCAGGAUACAGAACAAGGAACAGCACAGCAACACAGCAGCAUGAGACUUAUUUCUGCAGGAGUCUUUACUCCAGCCUCCCAAGUGUCAGCUGAGGGGUAAAGAAACAAGAUCAUUUUCGGUGGGUGCAGAAGCCACCUGGCUUAGAAGCUUUAUGCUCCAGAAAAACCAAUUCCUGUUGAAACAGUACAUGAGUAUUGCUUCCAGAAAUAUUUGCAAUAAGGAACACCACACUUAAGGAAUCCCAAAGCCCAUGUUUUGAAUGGGCAUUUGUAGUACGUGUUAGUCUUCCUGGUCCAGAUAGUUUACCAAUAAGGUGUCUUUUUUUUUUUUUUUUUUUUUUUUUUUUUUUUUGAGACACAGUCCUGCCCUGUAGUACAGUGGCAUGGUGUGAUCUCGGGUCACUGCAACCUCCACCUCCUAGGCUCAAGCAAUCCUCUUGCCUCAGCCUUCUAAGUAACUAGGACUACAGGCAUGCACCACCAUGCCCAGCUACUUUUUUGUGUGUUUUUUUAGAGAGGGUUUUGCCAUGCCACUCAGGCUGGUCUCGAACUCCUGGAUUCAAGUGAUCCACCCAUCUUGGCCUCCCAAAGUGCUGGGAUUACAAGUGUGAGCCACCGUGCCCAGCUAAGGGCUCAUUUUUAAUCAUAAACAAUAUUGCCUAAUAUUACAGCUGACAUUCCAUUAUUACCUUGCCUAGUAGGUUUCCAGAGAAACAGUGCUGAAAGCCAAAUUCGAGGUCAUUUCACCAGGGAGAGAGAAAGGAUUUUAUUAACCCUUUACUCAUAGCAGUACUGGGUAAUCUCACAGUAUCAGGACCCAGUCUUCUAUAUUGCUGCUCUGCCAUUCAUGACUUCUAUUUCCAAAGUUACUUUGAAGUCCAAGAAUGCUGCUGGAUGGAGCUCUAGCUACCACAUCCAUGUUCCAGCAGGAACAGAUGAGCCCUGCUGCUUCCUCUUAAGCCUUUAAGUUAAAGGAAACUUCCCAGAAGCACCAGUCAGCACUUGUUUUUUUCUUGGUUUUUUGUUUUUGUUUUUUUUUUUCCAUCACUCAGCACUUCUUAUUCCAUGUCAAUGCCGGAACUUAGUCAUAUGACCACAUAUAUCUGCAAGGAAAGCUAGGCACGUUGCUAACCUGAAUACAUUCUGGGAUUCUGAUACAAAGCCAAAAAGGGAGAAUAGAUAAUUGGGUCAGGCAAUUAGCAUUCUCUCCUAUACAUACAUAUAGGGGGAACAAUAAGCUGUUCACUAAAAGCUGAGACUAAAAAAAAAGUCACAUAAAUUAUUAGCUGGGCAUGGAGGGAUGUGCCUGUAAUCCCAGCUACUUGGGAGGCUGAGGCAUGAGAAUCGCUUGAACCUCCGAGGUUGUGGUGAGCCAAGAUCGUGCCACUGCACUCCAGCCUGGGCAACAAGAGUGACAGACUAUCUCAAAAGUAAAAAAAUUAAAAAGUCAUACAGACAUUGGAAAGAUUAUGCUUAUAAUCAUCUGCUUAUGAUUUGAAAAUGCUUUUUAUUAAGGUAUUUUCCAAUUAAAUACAAAACUUUUUGAAGAAAAAAUUCUUUGGGCCAGGCAUGAUGGCUCACACCUGUAAUUAUAGUACUUUGUCAAGGCAGGAGGAUCACUUGAGCUCACUAGUUUGAGACCAGCCUGGGCAACAUGGCAAAACCCUAUCUCUACAAAAAAUACAAAAAUAAGCUGGGUGUGGUCACACACCCCUGUAGUCCAGCUACUAGGGAGGCUGAGGUGGGAGGAUGGCUUAAGCCCACGAGGUGGAGGUUGCAGUGAGCCCAGAUUGUGCCACUGCACUACAGCCUGGGUGAUAGAGCCAGAACUUGAUUUAAAAAAAAAAAAAAUUCUUCAUCCUAGAACAUUAGCUCUUUAAUCUGUUAAAAUAGCUAUAUCUCCAUCAAUUGUGAGAUGUAAUUAACAUGAGGUAUGUUUUAACUUACUGGUACUAGGUUAAACUAUAGGAAAUUGCUGUUGUUUUGUAGUUGGAAACAAUCAAAUAUUAGCAAUUUUACACAGCUCAACAAAGUAUCAAAGUAUCAAAGAGUGAAUAAUUUACUUAAAAAAUAUAAACUAGCACAGAUUUAUUUUACUGCCAUAAUAAAAUGACUAAUACAGCUGACUUCCAAUAAUCUUUCUCAAGUGGGAAUUAUUUUUCUUGAUAAAAUACUUUGUUGUAGACUAAAAAUAGGCCCCAAAGAUUUCCAUGCCCUAAUCCCUAGUAUUAAUGCCUGUGUAUGUUAAAUGACCUAGCAAAAGAGACUUUGCAGAUGGAAUUAAUGUUUUUUGGUUUUUUGGGGUUUUUUUUGAGACGGAGUCUCACUCUGUCACCCAGGCUGGAGUGCAGUGGUGCAAUCUCAGCUCACUGCAACCUCCGCCUCCCAGGUUCAAGCAAUUCUCCUGCCUCAGCCUCCUGAGUAGCUGGGAUUACAGGUGUGCACCACCACACCUGGCUAAUUUUUGUAUUUUUAGUAGAGAUGGGGUUUCACCAUGUUGGCCAGGCUGGUCUCAAUCUCCUGACCUUGUGAUCUGCCCACCUCGGCCUCCCAAAGUGGUGGGAUUACAGGUGUGAGCCACUGCACCUGGCCAG